AACCUAGCACACCUGCGGUGUGUACCUGCGGAAGGAUCAUUAACCUUUCAAAUCAGGGUGCGGCGCGGCCCCCGAGGAGCGGAAACAAUCCUUGGGAGGUAUGCGGGGGCUUCGAGCCCCCCAUUUACGCACGCACGACUGCCAUCCUUACUUUACGAGCACCUUCUGUUCUCCCUCGGCGGGGCAACCUGCCGUUGGAACCGAAUAAACUCUUUUUGCAUCUAGCGUUACCUGUUCCGA
rnacentral:misc_RNA from 1 species